AUAUAUUAUCUUUAUGCACACUUCUGAAUACUUAAAAUACCUACUUUCCUCCUUAAAAGCUUGUUCAGCUUGUUGCUUAGAUACCACAGAGAUAAGCACCUUAAAAUACUCAUUACAGAGAGUUUGACACUGGAAAAUAUCUUUGGACUGUUUACUCCCAGAAAUGUUUCCUGAGAUGAGAUAACCCAAAGGCAUUUUCCAAAUUCCCCUGGAAUACAGGUAUAAGUUGACCCUUUUUUGUAAAGGGCAACUAAUUGCUUCAAAUCUAUGAAACUUGGUCCAGCUUGCUUGUUAGAUGUAAUCUAAACUGAUCCCUGACAAGGAAAAUUCUAGAAACUCUGGUACUCGUUUCUCCAAGUGUUGUAUUGCAAUAUGUUAAUAUCCCCAAAUAAAAGAUAACCAUAAGUUAAUAAAUAUAAAAUCCAGCUGCCUCUUGUUGGCAGCGUUGUGAUAAACUGUAGAUAGACUAAAGGGCCCGUAUUGGGGUCAGGGAAGCUGGUUUGAACAAAGAGUGGCUGAUUGCAAACUUGUCAGAUUUAAUUUGGUAGGUGGAGAUGCUGUUAAGAGAAGCCUAUGAUAUAUGUGGCAAAUUGCAUACACCUGGAAUGUUGAGCCCUGAAAUGUAUUUUCUAACAUUAGAACUGAAUGGAACUAACUGAAUGGAACUUACAUUCCCACAUAACUUUCUUUUACACUUUCAGGAGUUGUGUGGUUUUGUCAUUGCUAUUUAUUGGAGUGAGCCUGGGAAAAUCACAAGAAGGGAAAGAUUCCUGCAGAUCAAGAAUUCUGAUGAUGAUCACUUCUGGAAGAAAGAGGCAGUCCUUAAGAUAUCCUGGAACAAAGGCAUUGGGGCUUGAAUAGAUCUAGAGGCUGAAAAAAGGCUACAAAAUCAGCAAUUUGGAAUGGGAAGUGGAUUAGUGGUCAACUAAAAGUGUGUUCACAUCCUACCAUAAGAUCAUGUGAUAUCACACUCAACUUCUGGAAUGAUUCCAUUAGCAUUGCCUCUGAAAAAUCCUGAAAAUCUCUUGGGAAGACAGGCAGACAAAUGUCAGCAUUCUGGAAGAGGCAAAGACCACUAGCAUUGAAGCAAUGAUCCUUCACCAUCAACGUCACUGGAAUGGCCACGUUGUCCAAAUGCCUGAUCAUUGUCUCCCAAAGCAGUUACUAUAUUCUCAACUCAAGAAUGGAAAAUGGAAUGCUGGUGGACAAGAAAAGAAAUUUGAAGAUGGGCUUAAAGCAAACCUAAAAUUGUGGCAUACAUACCAAAAACUAGGAAGUCCUAUCCCUCUAGUGUUCUAACUGAAGGUAAGCUAUUACCAAGAGUGCUGUGGAAUUCAAAGAGGCACAAAUGAAGGGUGAGAGGGAGAAAUGUGUAAAGAGGAAGGUGCGUCAAGCCAACCCUUGUCAGGAUCAUCUCCUAUCUGGAAAUCAAUAUCUUUACUGCAGAAGAUCAGGUAGCUCAAGAACAGGUCUCUACAGUCAUCUACAGACCCAUGGCCAAGAUGCUACACUUGGAAAGCAAUCAUAUUCAGCCAUGAGAUAACACCUAUGAUAAUGAUAACAUCAUGAUCCAAGUCAGGUAGAUGGGGGAAGUAACCCCAGUAGCAGGAUGAGAUUCCCAUUCUGCUUGGACCAUGGGUUUCUGGACCAUUGUUCUUUACUGACAAUCAUAAGGCACAGUAAUGGUGAGCCUUUUCAUCUCUAUGCAUUUUGUAUCCUGAGACAGUGACAUCUUUGCUUUCUGAUGGUUCAAUGUACGCAAAUUUUGUUUCAUGCACAUCAUUUAAAAUAUUAUGUAUAAAACUAUCUUCAGGCAAUAUGAAUAAGUUAUAUAUGAAAUGUAAAUGAAUUUCUUGUUUAGAUUUCAGUCCCAUUUCAAAGAUAUCUAAUUAUGUAUAUGCAAAUAUUGCCAAUCCACCCAAAACAUGAAAUUCAAAACA